rnacentral:lncRNA from 1 species
UCUCUCUUCUCUUUCCCUUUGUAGCGAGCCCCUCUUCCCUUUCUCACCUCUCCGCUCCUUCCCACUCCAUCCUCCUCGCGCAUGUGGCCACCACCACAUGCAGCGCCACUACCCCUCUCUCCCUCGGCUUCCUUUCUUUUCUUCUUCUCCAUGCAAGAUCAUUGCUGGACAAUCUCUCUCCUUCUCCCCGACUCGCGGUGGUUCGCCACGAGUAGCUCCUCCUUUGAGUGGAGAUCGUGGCUAUGUGAUCUCCCCACCUUCCUCUCCUUUCAACCGAAUGGCCUCAAGUGAGGGAAACCCUAAUCGGGUUUCCGCUAAAUAGGCUGACCGUCGGCCAUUGGAUAUCUAUUGAGAGAUCUAGGUCGUUCAUUUUGGUCAGGGGCAUUUUUGUCAUUUCACAUCCAAAAAUGCAUCUUGACCAUUCAAUCAGGAGCACCUAGAUCGUAGCCGUAGGAUCUAGGGUUUCAUUAAGGGCAAAAGGGCAUGUGUGAAAUCUCGACCGUUAGAUAAGAUGUCAUGCAAUCUACACCAUUCAUUCGAAUUUUGAUUGAGAUAGAAUCCUAACCGUUUGAUCAAAUUAGGCAGGAAACAAUCCAGGGCAUUAGAUCAUGAUCCGCAUGAAGUGGCCUCUCAGCCGUCGGAUUACCCUGCCCACAAGUGAUCGCAACCAUCCCUUAAGAGCAUAACAAGGACACGUGUGGACUGUUGAUAAU